rnacentral:rRNA from 1 species
GACGAACGCUGGCGGCGUGCCUAACACAUGCAAGUCGAGCGAAGUGAGUACUACGGUACGAACUUAGCGGCGGACGGGUGAGUAACGCGUGGACAAUCUACCCUGUAGACUGGGAUAACACCUCGAAAGGGGUGCUAAUACCGGAUAAUGUCGAGAAGCGGCAUCGCUUUUCGAAGAAAGGAGAGAAUCCGCUAUAGGAGGAGUCCGCGUGCCAUUAGCUAGUUGGUGAGGGUAACGGCCCACCAAGGCGACGAUGGGUAGCCGGACUGUGAGGGUGAACGGCCACACUGGAACUGAGACACGGUCCAGACUCCUACUGGAGGCAGCAGUGGGGAAUAUUGUGCAAUGGGGGAAACCCUGACACAGCAACGCCGCGUGAGCGAAGAAGGCCUUCGGGUUGUAAAGCUCAAUAGUAUGGGAAGAUAAUGACGGUACCAUACGAAAGCCCCGGCUAACUACGUGCCAGCCGCCGCAGUAACAC